UCCAUUCUUCCCUUCCUUCUUCUUCUGAUAGGGCACUUCUAUAAUGAACUGGAACUCUAUAUAAUCAAAGCUGACUUCAAACUCUAGUUCCUUCUGCUCCAGCCUCCCAAGGUUUUGGAUUAUAGAUUAUAUUUGGAUUAUAUUGUAAUCUAUGCCCAGAACAGAUUUAGGGUUGUUGGGGACAGGUGGGACACUUAAGAAGUCUGCAAAGGCUGGGGACACAGGAUGGCUGAGGCUUUGACUUACACUAGGCUGGAGGGGAUGGAGACCUUUCUUGUGUGGACACCUAGAGGUGUUUGUUGGUGGGUUGUGUAGGUGGAAAAGAAAAGGGGAUCACAAAGUUGACACCUGUUCAGCUUUAACCCAUCGGUAGCAGUAGCUACUGAUGCUUCCUCCUGAGAUGGGGACUGGGUGGGAAACCCACAUCCCACAUUGCCCCUGUUAGUCUGGCUGUGUGACUCGACACCAAGAGGCUGUGUCAAUAGAUUGCUGACUUAGAGCAGGGUCUCAGCUGGGAUACAAGAUUUGGGAGCAUUUGCAGUGCUUUGCACAACUCUUCUGGGGAGGCUGCUCAGCUACUAGGCAAGAGCUUUUCAAAACACAUGUCUGAUUAUGUAAACACUCUUGCUCCAAACUCGGCCAAGUGCAAGGUGCUUUCCCACAGCACCAAGAAGCACUAGACCCUUCUGUUCAUGCAGAGACCAAUUAGUUUCCUCUGUUUGCUCAUUGUUCUUAAGCGUCAGCGUUUAGUUCACAGAGAGGAAGCCAAGGUUUGGAGAUUAAGUGACUUGUAGAAUUCAUCCAGGAAGCAUGGCUUCUAAUUCAAGGUUAGGUUAAUUUAGUCUUGUUUCAUAGAAGCUGCUGGCCUUUUAUACACAGUCCAAAGAUUAGCUCAUUAGAAAAGCAGCCAGGGCCUACUCCAUGAAAACAGGGCUUUAUACAGUAAAUAAUUUUAUCUUUCUGUCCAGAAAACAUCAUUUUGUUCAGCUUUGGGCACUUGCCGUGUGCUGAGUGCUGUCUUCAGCCUACACGCUUCCAGUCAAUCCAAGCUCCUGUCCACUUUAAAGGUGAGGAAGUGGAAAGCAUGAGAGCUUCGACGGCGUAAGAGCAGUUUGGGAAGUGGGACUCAAACACGGCUUGCCUGCUUGAAAAACUCACCCUGGAACCAUUUCCAGGUAUACUCCCAGAGAAGCCAGGUGAAAAACAUCUUCUCCACUACCCCUGCUGUCAUCGGCAAGCCUGAGACCCAGAGAGGGCAACGGGUUUACCCAGGGCCAUGCUCAAGUCUGUGAUAGCCAGUCUCAAACCCAGGUCUCCAGUAGGUAGCACUGACUUUGUGUCAUGUUUCCUGACUCCUGAAUUCAGGAACUAAGAAACUGCAAUAGUAUCUGCUCUGAACCAAGAUUCUUUUCAUCGUUGGUCCUUGGUACCUCUGGGUUCUGUGUCCUUGGAUUCAACCAAGCACGGAUGAAGAAUAUUUGAAAGAAAAAUGUGUCUGUGCUGAGCAUGAACAGGCUGUUUAUUGUCAUUGCCUAGUCAAUACAACACGCCUUUACAUAGUGUUUGCAUUUAUUAGGUAUUAGAAUAGUGUAAGGAGGUGUGUGUAGGCUUUAUACUAAUACAGCUUCUUCUAUAAGAGUGUGGUGUGGCGCUUUCUGGAGAGACAUGAGAAAUUGUCUAUUCCUCUCAGAUAUAAUAACUGUUACAUUCUAGGGGUCUGGAUUGGGUUCCUUUUCUCUGCCACUUAAAAAA
rnacentral:sRNA from 1 species